rnacentral:tRNA from 1 species
AAGAAUUUAAGUUAAAAAAACUAUUGAUCUUCAAAAUCAAAAAUAGAGGCCCCCCCCCUAAGUCUUA